UACGUAGGUGACAAGCGUUGUCCGGAAUUACUGGGCGUAAAGGGCGCGUAGGCGGUGUGUCAAGUCAGGCGUGAAAGCCCCGGGCUCAACCUGGGAACAGCGCUUGAGACUGGCACGCUCGAGUUCGGGAGAGGAUGGUGGAAUUCCCAGUGUAGAGGUGAAAUUCGUAGAUAUUGGGAAGAACACCGAUGGCGAAGGCAGCCAUCUGGACCGACACUGACGCUGAGGCGCGAAAGCGUGGGGAGCAAACAGG
rnacentral:rRNA from 1 species